UGCUCCAGGACUUGUCUAACAAGAUGUUAUGUUUUUCCACAUGCGAUGAACAGCUCUAUAUCAAGUCAGAGGAGACAGCAAUCUUCCAAACCUUCCUUGCUUUAUCGUUUUGGCAGGGAUGCCUUUUUGAUCAAGUUCAAUUCCUGGAUAGGUCCAAACAAGCAGGAUUUUUUGGUCUGCCCUGAAAUUUGGUACAUCUCACAGAGGGAGGGAGGCAGAAGGUGUGGGCUGGGGGAAUCAGACAAGAUGCAUCUGUUUGAGACAGUUCUCCCCAUAACAGCUGCUCUUCUAAGCAUUAUGUGCAUGGGUGAAUAAGUACAGAUGUGUGUGAAGAUCUGGGGAAGCAAACAAUGGUUUCCGAAUAAGCUCAGUCUCUCAGCGUGUAUUCUGCAGUGUCUUGACAGCAGUUCACCUUUGAUGACGCAACAUUGGCAGCAACCACAGGAAAGCAUCUGUCUGCCUUGGUAGGUAAAUGAGUAGCAGCUGAGGAAAAAAAUGGAGUUCACACGGGGACAGAGGCAUUGAAAGGCUUCCUGAGCUAUUGAUUUUUGCACGUGCUCAAGGGAGCAAAUGGGGAAACAGAUUUUACUUACCCAGAAAUUUCUAUAAUUUGCCAUCCAGCCCGGUCACUAGAUUGAUUGAACCUGGUUAACAUUGCUCAAUAGCCAGCACAAGUGAUCUUUAAACCAGAUUAUUAAUCAUUUGAGAAAAACCUGCUCCACGUUCUUGCUAAAGGGAUUUGUAUGUUAAGUUGCUUCACAAAACAUUUUGUGUGAAGACUGAGAUGUAUCAUAGCAUAAAAACCAGUGGUGGCUGUGAGCUGGCAUGGCAAUUGCUCAGCUACGCGGCCCAACUACAUGGCCCUUUCUACAGGAGUUUCAACACUGCUAUUUGGGAUGUCUUAGUGAAGUGCCUGAAGUUACAAGGAAGGAAGUAAAAACAUCAAUCUGCAUCUGCUCUCUCCUGCAGAGUUGUCAUCAGUCAUCUUGUCUGGACUAGCAGGUUAUAUUUCCACGAGAUUAACAAGGGUUUGAGUCUUUGUCUUCCCCCUCCAUCUUCAUUCAGGCUGGACUACAACUGAAAUCAUGUUUCACCUUCUGGCAGAAAACCAGGUGGCAUUUCAGUAGGCUCAGUGAAAGCAUUCUGCUAUGUGGAGACACAUCAUGAACAUCUUUCCUCCAUCAACAGCUCCACUGGGACAACCUUCUUACUCUCCUUCAACUUGUCAUUCCUGGGUCUUCUCUUCCCUUGCACAUGUUUUGUAGAUAAUGAAUAUGCAGUUGGUUCCCCUAUUUUGACCCAAUCCAUAUGUUCAAGGAGGAAAGCUUUCUUCUCUGUCUCACUGCACAUGGCAUGGUACUACCAUUUUCUGCUUG